AGGAGGAUGAGAAAAAUAGGUUGGGAAGAAUAGGUUGUUUGCGAGGAAAGAAUAGAAAUAGAAAGAGCCACCGUAGAGUGAGAGAGUAGAGUCGCAGACUCGUAGAGGUCAGUAUGGAGGGAGAUGUCGGCAUUGAUUUGCUUCAUGAGUAGAAUUGGAGGAGGACAAAAAUGAGAAGGGGUGAGAAGAAAAAAGAAGAAGGGUCACCACGAAGAAGAGGAAAAAUAUAACUGCUGGCCCUAACAAGAAAUCGUGGACUUAACUGUCUUCCCAAACAAACUAAAAGGAAAAAAAUGA
rnacentral:lncRNA from 1 species